GGAAUAACUCAGGGGUAGAGUAGCAACCAAAUAUGCAGGUUCGAAUCCUGCUUCC
rnacentral:tRNA from 1 species